ACGAACGCUGGCGGCGUGCUUAACCCCUGCAAGUCGUACGGUAAGGCCCUUUCGGGGGUCCACGAGUGGCGAACGGGUGAGUAACACGUGAGUAACCUGCCCACAACUUUGGGAUAACGCUAGGAAACUGGUGCUAAUACUGGAUAUGUGCUCCUGCUGCAUGGUGGGGGUUGGAAAGCUCCGGCGGUUGUGGAUGGACUCGCGGCCUAUCAGCUUGUUGGUGGGGUAGUGGCCUACCAAGGCGGCGACGGGUAGCCGGCCUGAGAGGGUGACCGGCCACAUUGGGACUGAGAUACGGCCCAGACUCCUACGGGAGGCAGCAGUGGGGAAUAUUGCACAAUGGGCGCAAGCCUGAUGCAGCAACGCCGCGUGCGGGAUGACGGCCUUCGGGUUGUAAACCGCUUUCAGCAGGGACGAAGCUUUUUGUGACGGUACCUGCAGAAGAAGCACCGGCUAACUACGUG
rnacentral:rRNA from 1 species